AACGUGGGUGGCGAGCGUUAUCCGGAUUUACUGGGCGUAAAGCGUGUGCAGGCGGCUUAUCAAGUGGUGUAUGAAAUAUCCAGGCUCAACCUGGAGGGGUUAUGCCAGACUGGUAGGCUAGAGUGCGAGAGAGGGGCGUGGAAUUCCGGGUGUAGUGGUGAAGUGCGUAGAGAUCCGGAGGAACCCCAGAGGCGAAGGCGGCGUCCUGGCCCGGUUCUGACAUUCAGACACGACAGCAUGGGGAGCGAACGGG
rnacentral:rRNA from 1 species